CUCUCACUCACUCUCACUCACACUCUCGCUCUCACUCACUCACACUCUCUCGCUCGCACUCACACUCUCGCUCUCACACACUCACUCUCUCUCGCUCGCACUCACACACUCACACUCUCUCGCUCGCUCUCACACACUCUCGCUCGCUCACACUCACACUCUCGCUUGCUCUCACUCACUCACACACUUGCUCGCUCACACUCACACUCCCUUUUGCACUCACACUCUCUUGCACUCACAUGCUCGCUCGCACUCUCUCUCACACAUUGCUGGAGAGACUCAGCUUCUCUGGCGGGGAAUAAACAGUUGACGUUACAGGCCUAGACCCUUCAGGAAUGGGGCAGAAGCUGGGGGGAGGUCAAGGAGUACAAACUGUCAGGUGACAGGUGAGACCAAGUGAGGGGGGAAGAUGGGUGGUUGGGAGAAGGGGGAGAUGAAGAGCUCUGCCCCACCAUUCAGAGUAAUCAUGGCUUAUCUGCACUGGCCUCAGCUCCUUGCGGACUACUCCUCUCUGAUGGUGUUGGUCGUUGGUGCAAAAGACACAUUUGUGAACAUUGUAAACUUGGCCAGCUCCAUCAUGAGCACUAACCUCCCCAGCAUUGGGGCAUCUUCAGUAACCAGCAUCCAUCAUUCAGGAUCCCCAUCACCCAGGACCAGUCCUGACAAAGGGUCUCGGCCCGAAACGUCGACAGCGCUUCUCCCUAUAGAUGCUGCUUGACCUGCUGUGUUCCACCAGCAUGUUGCGUGUGUUGCUUGAAUUUCCAGCAUCUGCAGUCUUCCUCGUGUUUGUCUUUUAAAGUAACACAUGUUCUUGGUUUUCAGUUACGUUGGCCAAAAUGGAUGCAGGGACCGUGACAAAGUGCAACUUUGCAGGGGAUAAAAAGGCAGGAAGUUCUUGGACAGACAAUAUAUUUGCUACAAAGUCGAAAAAUGAGGAAGAGGCUAAAGAAAGUGGCCAAGGGGAGGGGGCUGACGAGGAUGAGUGGGAUGAUUGAAGACCCAGGCAGUCAGUGAAACCCUAACAGCAAAGUAUAUCUCACUCAUCUUCAUCUUUAAAUCUGUUUAUGAACAUUUACUCUGACUGUAUAAUCUUUUAAUGUUAAAAUUGUGGUAAGUUUUCCUGAGAAUCUUGGUGCUCAGAAGUUCUCUUUGGCUUUGAACGAAAUCUUGUGUGGGAGCCCCGGCCCUGUGGCGCGUCUUCUAAUUCAACUGUCAAUCCUGUCUAGAUGGUACAAACAAACGAUUCCUUGGGCAACAUCUUCCAGAUAACAAAUUUCUCGAAUUAUUUCAUUUUUUUCUACACCGUCUGCUUGCUCUUUGUCUUGUUUGUGUUACGGAAACUGCUGGAGCCUGUGAUGGAACUCAAAGGAUUUAGCGCCAUGCUGCGUCCGGAGAGCUGCCUCCAGGAGAUUAGAGACCGGAGGCCAAGAAGGACCGAGAGCACAAACUGAGUCGCAGAAAAGACCAGAGACAGGGCACAGGGUCAUGAACAACUCCAUCUCGAAGCGGCAAGACUAAAGCAUCGAGAUGAAUGUGGUGGGGGUCACCAGUGGCUCCCAACAGAGAUGGUCAGCAGCUGGAUCAGCAACGCUCAGACCCGGAUCAGUGGUCACUCUUUACAGAAGGACUGAGUUUGUCGACUGCUCUCCUCAUAUGCAGAUGAAAAGAUAUUUCUGAUAUUCUGAGAUUUAUGUAAUAAUUGGAUUGUACUUUAUAUUGGUUUCCUUUUGUUUCUCAGUGUUUUCUUUCUUGUGGCCAAUUAGCAAGUGGGUGAGCUGUUAAUUUUUGUGUGUAAGGAGGGGUUGGGGGUUUGGUGCUACCGUUACUGUUCUUUGUGAGUGAGGGUGUCCGGGGUCGGUGAUUUGUGUCUGUUUUUCCCUUCAGGGGAGGGGGUCUGCAAGUUUGUUUCUUUUUUUUUUGCACUGGGGGUGGAUUUACGGAACUGAAAGUAGGUUGUCUCAGUGCAAUAAGGAAAUGAAAGAUUCAAAAAGGAGUAAACAUUACCUUUAUUUGUCACAAGAAAUGUAUGAUUUGUGCCUAUGGCCAGCCCAGUCUGUUGUGCUGGGGGGGGGGGGGGUGCAGUUCACAGUGUCACCACGGCAUACCCCACUUACUAACAUAGAGCAUAAUACUAUUACAGCUCAGGGCAUUGGACUCUGGAAUUCAGUCCUCUGUAAGACAGUGUGAAUGUUCUUCCCUCGUGCCUGUCAAUUUUCCCUGCAUGCUCCGCUUUCACCCACAGUCCAAAGAUGUACUAGUUAGUAAGUUAAAUUGUUAUUGUAAACUUUUCUGUGAUUAAGCUAGGUCAAAUCGGUGGCUGCCCUUGUGAGCCAGAAGGGCCUAUUCUGUGCUGUAUCUCUAAAUAUCCUGACCGGCUCUUCUCUGGAAUGUGGCAGGAACCCACACAGUCAUGAGGAGAAUGAGCAAACUCCUUCCAGGCAGCAGAGGCAAUGAAGUGUUGCGCUAUGUGCUGCCCUCUCAAUUCUCACUAAGUACAUAAAGUUGCAGGUUCAAUGAGAGGAACAGUCCGUUUUCAGGAGACAGGUUGGAAGCCUUCACCUUUACAGGCUGGAAUUUGUACUGGAGUUCUGCCUGUAGUCUGCUGAUUUAGUUACAGUGACCAGGCCACUGGAGAUGGUAGUGAGGAGAAGCCCAUCAUCUGUAGCACUCGAAGGUGGGUGGGGAAGAUCCUCUGGAGGCUCCAGAAGUGUGGAGAUCGAAACUAUUGCAGGAAAUACUGAACAAGGGUGAGCUAUACCAACCAGACUUUCUGCGGUCGACAAGGUCAGAAAGCUGAGGAGGGAGCGAUGUGAAAGCAAGUUAGAGCCACUGGUGAGGAGCCAGUAGAACUCUUGAACUCUCUUUGUGGUCAAGAGCUGGAAAUGUUAAUAAUUCACAUGAAAGUUGCAGUGGGACCUGCUUUUUAACAGAUUUUUAUAUUCUUUCAUUAAUAAAACUUGCUGGUGAAGAACACCUCACACUCUUUAUAUAAAUUGCUUAACAAAAUUUCACUUUCCUAAAUGAAUAAAGGUUAACUAAUA